rnacentral:rRNA from 1 species
AAAGAAAAUAACAAUGAUUCCCCUAGUAACUGCGAGUGAAGAGGGACAAGCUCAAAUUUUAAAUCUAUCGGGUUUUACCCGAUCGAGUUGUAAUUUGAAGAAGCGUUUUCUGCGUAUUUGGUCAGCCUAAGUCCUAUUGAAUGAGGCAUCAUGGAGGGUGAUAAUCCCGUCCGGUUGAUCAUUUGCGUUUUACGAUACGCUCUCUAAGAGUCAAGUUGUUUGGGAUUGCAGCUUAAAAUGGGAGGUAAAUUUCUCCUAAGGCUAAAUAACGGCGAGAGACCGAUAGCGAACAAGUACCGUGAGGGAAAGAUGAAAAGAACUUUGAAAAGAGAGUUAAACAGUACGUGAAAUUGUUGAAAGGGAAACGAUUGAAGCCAGUCGUACCUUCGGGUAAUCAGCCUUUCGGGUGCGAUUCUGUGGAGUUUGAGGAGCUUAACACCUUCAUGCUUUGCAUAUUCGUGCUCUUGGGUGUACUUGCUCGUAUGGUUGGUUAACAUCAAUUUUGGUGGUCAUAAAAUGACUGGAGGAAUGUAGCUUCGAUCUUGUAUUGAAGUGUUAUAGCCUUCGGUAGAUGUGAUGAUCGAGAUUGAGGAUUGCAACGGAUACCCUUCGGGGCUACCUGUCUGAUCUCUGAUCGUUGCUCUGGUGCCGAAAGCUUGCUUACGGUUAUCAAAGUCGAUGGUCAAUAGGUUAGAACGGGUUAAAUU